GAGAACCUGCGCUGAGGCUGCCCCACAGGGCGCAGGCCCCGACCCUCAGCGUCCACCGUCUGCUGCCUACAUCCGCCCGCCCGGCGUCCGACCCCUUCAGCGGCGACGGGCGGAGCUGGAGCCCCGGGCUCGGACGCCAGGUGGGCUCCUGGGAGGGUGAUGAAGCAGGCCCUGGUGGACGAUACCGAGGAUGUGUCCCUGGACUUUGGAAACGAGGAGGAGCUGGCCUUUAGGAAAGCCAAGAUCAGACACCCCUUGGCCACCUUUUUCCACCUGUUUUUCCGAGUGAGUGCCAUCGUCACCUACGUGAGCUGCGACUGGUUCAGCAAGAGCUUUGUGGGCUGUUUUGUCACGGUGCUGCUCCUCCUGUCCCUGGACUUCUGGUCUGUGAAGAAUGUAACCGGAAGACUCCUGGUGGGCCUUCGAUGGUGGAACCAGAUAGAUGAAGAUGGGAAGAGCCACUGGAUCUUUGAAGCCAGGAAGGUCUCUCCGAAUAGCAUUGCUGCCACAGAAGCUGAAGCACGAAUCUUCUGGCUGGGCCUCAUAAUCUGCCCCAUGAUAUGGAUUGUGUUUUUUUUUAGCACCUUAUUUUCCUUGAAGCUAAAAUGGCUGGCUCUGGUGGUUGCUGGGAUCUCUCUCCAAGCUGCAAACCUGUAUGGCUACAUCCUUUGUAAGAUGGGAGGCAACAGUGACAUUAGCAAGGUCACAGCCACUUUCCUGUCCCAGACAGUGUUCCAGACGAUGUUUCCCCUGACAAACGUCCUGCCCACCAAUCCCAUCUCGGCAGAGCUGAACUGUGGCAGAGGUGCAGGCUGGCAGGAAUGGAUGUGCCCUGGGCUGCUGCAAGCUCCUGUCCCCAGUCACAUCCAUUCAUGCAGCCCAACUGCCUCCAGGGGCCUCAGAGGGCAGCUCUCAUCACCACUUCCGGCCACUGCAAAAGCUGCCUGGCUGGUCCCGAACUCGUGGGCUCAAGUGAUCCUCCCAUCUCAGCCUCCCAAAGUCCUGGGAUUACAGGUGUGAAUCACUGUGCUGGCUGAAGUUUUUAACAAGAGGUUUCUGCAGAUCCACAUCGGAUGCAGCUGCGGAACACACACUGGGAAGAGCCUUGGUGAGACCAGAGUAUCACAGCCAGGCUGGAGUGCAGUGGCAUGAUCUUGGCUCACUGCAACCUCCGCCUCCUGGGUUCUCCUGCCUCAGCCUCUCGAGUAGCUGGGAUUACAGGUACGUGCCACCAUGCUCGGCUAAUUUUUUAUGUUUUUGGUAGAGACAGGGUUUCACCAUGUCGGCGAGGCUGGUCUUGAACUCCUGACCUCAGGUGAUCCAUCUGCCUCGGCCUCCCAAAGUGCUGGGAUUACAGGCGUGAGCUACCACACCCGACCAGGGUUCUACAGCUUUUAAGGAGAGAAAAACUCACAGCAGAUAUUUAUAAUUAUGUAAUGGAAACUGGUAUUUCUAUUAGCUCUUUUCAACCAGUGAAGAAAGAGGCACUGGAUGGUUAAAAAUAAUACACUGCGAAGUCCAGCAGGCUGAGACUGGCAGGACAGGGAGCAGAUAAAGCCAAGAGCCACAACGCUCGUGGAAGAAUGUGAGAGACAAAAAAAGGCAGAGUGGCAAACCGUUUUUCUUGGGUCCCCUCCAGAUGACAGCAUCAUCAGGACUGCUGAGCAGGAAGCCCACUGACAUCACCCCCAGGUUGUCUUCCACGUACUGCAGAGGGAACAGGGUGAGGGCAAGACACGCUUUACUCAAAACCACACAGUGAGGCCCUCCCCCAGGUCUUCUGUUUGAGCUCUGACUGGAAAAAACAUUUUCAGGACAAAACUACCAUGUGACCUAUGAGCAUAUUCACUCUUUGCUCCUAAAUCAUUUUUGGAAAAAAAAAAAAGGGUACCAUGUUGGGGGAUUUGAAAGAGGCACUGUAUGUCCAUGGGCUGCAGUGACAGCAAUGACAGGGAACUCAGCUAAAAUAAGUAAAUGUCAUCUCCUUAACUCUUUUAUUUUUUUAUUUUUCAUUUUUUUGAGAUGAAGUCUGGCUCUGUUGCCCAGGCUGGAGUGCAUGGUGCAAUCUCAGCUUGCUGCAGCCUCUGCCUCCCGGGUUCAAGCAAUUCUCCUGCCUCAGCCUCCCGAGUAGCCAGUGUUACAGGCGUGUGCCACCAUGCUCGGCUAAUUUUUGUAUCUUUAGUAGAGAUGGGAUUUCGCCAUGUUGGCCAGGCUGGUCUCGAACUCCUGGCCUCAAGUGAUCUGCCUGGCUUGGCCCCCUAAAGUGCUGGGAUCACAGGUGUGAGCCACUGCACCCUGCCUCCUUAACUCUCUUAACCAGAGAUUUACAAACUAUGGCCUUCAGGGCCAAAUCUGGCCCACCAUCUGUGUUUGUAAAUAAACUUUUAUUGGAAUACUG